rnacentral:rRNA from 1 species
GAUGAACGCUGGCGGCGUGCCUAAUACAUGCAAGUCGAGCGAACGGACGAGAAGCUUGCUUCUUUGAUGUUAGCGGCGGACGGGUGAGUAACACGUGGAUAACCUACCUAUAAGACUGGGAUAACUUCGGGAAACCGGAGCUAAUACCGGAUGAGAUUUUGAACCGCAUGGUUCAAAAGUGAAAGACGGUCUUGCUGUCACUUAUAGAUGGAUCCGCGCUGCAUGAGCUAGUUGGUAAGGUAACGGCUUACCAAGGCAACGAUGCAUAGCCGACGUGAGAGGGUGAUCGGCCACACUGGAACUGAGACACGGUCAAGACGCCUACGGGAGGCAGCAGUAGGGAAUCUUCCGCAAUGGGCGAAAGCCUGACGGAGCAACGCGGCGUGAGUGAUGAAGGUCUUCGGAUCGUAAAACUCUGUUAUUAGGGAAGAACAUAUGUGUAAGUAACUGUGCACAGCUUGACGGUACCUAAUCAGAAAGCCACGGCUAACUACGUG